rnacentral:rRNA from 1 species
UACGAAGGGGGCUAGCGUUGUUCGGAAUCACUGGGCGUAAAGCGCACGUAGGCGGAUGUGUCAGUCAGGGGUGAAAUCCCGGAGCUCAACUUCGGAACUGCCUUUGAUACAGCACGUCUUGAGUCCGGAAGAGGUGGGUGGAAUUCCUGGUGUAGCAGUGAAAUGCGUAGAUAUCAGGAGGAACACCGAUGGCGAAGGCAGGUCUCUGGGCUGACACUGACGCUCAUGCACGAAAGCGUGGGGAGCAAACAGG